ACAAAAAGGUAAACAUUUUCUAACAGAAAUAAGUAGUUAGCAAACAGAAAAUAGCUCUCUGUACUUCAGUAGUCGUAAGUGUCAUGGGAUGUUUAAUGCUUUUGUCUGUGGCUAUGUAAAUCUGAAGCAUGCUGUUAGGGUUAAAGUUAAGUGAACUCUUAAGUUGACACACAGCAGUGUGUAUAUCAAAUGAGAAAUAAUUUAUGGUUCCUUUUGUCUGUAAUUGCUCAUCCAACUAGAAUUUAGCAUAGUCACUGAGGAAAAUAAGUAGGAACCUUCAUAUCUUUAUAGAAUUUCUGUCAGAAGAAACCAUUUAUAGUUGGUCAUAGAUUCUCAGUGUUGUAAUUUUCCUUUUUUCAGGUCCUACCUGCUGUUCAGUGGUUGUAUGUGUGAGGUGUAUGUUAAAAGAGGGAGUCUGGGAUCAUAUCAUUUCCAUUUCCAGAGAUCCAAAGGGUUGCUAAUUUUGCUGAAUUACUUUCUGUGUAUUUCAUACAGGACCAGCAGUGGUAAAGACAAACAGCAGUGGCUUGUUGGCUAGCCAGGGCACGGACAGCCUGCUUGUAGGUUUUCUUUUUUUGCCUUUGCAAAUCUGUAGGUGCUACAGAAUAUGUCUUAUACUUGCAGAAGAGAAAAAAAGAGAACAAAGUGAAGAAAAAGAAAGAAAAGAAGAAAAAGAAAGAAAAAACAGGACCUGUCCAGCUUUCUAAGUUCUUCAAAAACAAAAAGAAGAAUGAGAACUAUAGCAUGAUAACUGGAAAGAAAAUUAAGAUGAAAAUAAAGAAGACUAAGAAAGAUAAAGAGAGAGACCGGAACCGUGCAGAGCUGCUUGAAUUUCUGAACUCUGCCUUAUAAUGGGAAGAGUGUGACCAAGGACUUGUAAGUACACCAAGCCAGUGAUGAUCAUGCCUAGCAAAAAAGCUAAAGAAAACUCAGGGAAAAGGAUGCCGAGUUUGACAAGACCAGACUCCUGCUGAGACAAUCAGGAUAUCCUUUUUUAAUGGCAAAAUGAAGAUCAAACGAUAACUUGUUAAUGAAGAUCUAUGUCCUUCUUUUGAGAUGCUAUGGUAACAGCCAGGCUGUGGUGUUUUAGAAGAUCCUAAGAGUGUGUCAUUGGCAAUGACAUGAAUUGACACACUGAGGUCCAAUUCUGUCCUAACUGCAUGCAGAACACGCUUUUAAUUUCAAAUGUCUUAAAGUUUCCAGUAGCUUAAACAAAGCGGAUUAUUUGUAACUGUCUGUUGAAAGAUGAGGCAUUUCUAUGUGUAUAUUUUUUCCAGUAGUGGUUUUACUUGUCCUAAAGAGCAGGUUGACCUUUGUAAAUAGAACAUCCUUUUACAUAAAUGCUUUUUUGACAGUUCAUUCAUUAAUAUAUUAUUUUAUUUCA